AGAUGUUCUACAGUUCUCGAAAGGAAGCAACACACAGAAGAUAUCUUGCAAGAUGAAAAUAUUUCAAACAAUUUUAGCAAUUUCCUGCAUUAUUGCCAUGGCUAUGGCAGCUCCUGGAAAUAAUGAAAUUGGAGGCAAAAAUAAUCAGGGAAAUACACAGCAAAAUGGAGACUUUAAGUUAAAUUUAUUGGGCUAAUUUUUAGAUUUUAAAUUAAAUUAAAAAUGUUAAUAAAUCUAUAUAUAUAAAAUACAAAAAA